AACUAAAGCAAUCUGCGCGUCGAGCGGCAGCGGGACAGUAGCUUGCUACUUUUGCCGGCGAGCGGCGGACGGGUGAGUAAUGCCUGGGGAUCUGCCCAGUCGAGGGGGAUAACUACUGGAAACGGUAGCUAAUACCGCAUACGCCCUACGGGGGAAAGCAGGGGACCUUCGGGCCUUGCGCGAUUGGAUGAACCCAGGUGGGAUUAGCUAGUUGGUGAGGUAAUGGCUCACCAAGGCGACGAUCCCUAUCUGGUCUGAGAGGAUGAUCAGCCACACUGGAACUGAGACACGGUCCAGACUCCUACGGGAGGCAGCAGUGGGGAAUAUUGCACAAUGGGGGAAACCCUGAUGCAUCCAUGCCGCGUGUGUGAAGAAGGCCUUCGGGUUGUAAAGCACUUUCAGCGAGGAGGAAAGGUUGGUAUCUAAUAUCUGCCAGCUGUGACGUUACUCGCAGAAGAAGCACCGGCUAACUCCGUGCCAGCACCCGCGGUAAUACGGAGGGUGCAAGCGUUAAUCGGAAUUACUGGGCGUAAAGCGCACGCAGGCGGUUGGAUAAGUUAGAUGUGAAACCCCCCGGGCACAA
rnacentral:rRNA from 1 species